UACGGAGGGUGCGAGCGUUGUCCGGAAUCACUGGGCGUAAAGGGCGCGUAGGUGGCGUCGCAAGUCAACGGUGAAAGCUCGACGCUCAACGUCGAGUCGGCCGUCGAGACUGCGAGGCUUGAGCACUGUAGAGGCAGAUGGAAUUCCGGGUGUAGCGGUGGAAUGCGUAGAGAUCCGGAAGAACACCGGUGGCGAAGGCGGCCUGCUGGGCAGUAGCUGACACUGAGGCGCGACAGCGUGGGGAGCAAACAGG
rnacentral:rRNA from 1 species